rnacentral:misc_RNA from 1 species
AACGCACAUUGCGCCCAUUGGUAUUCCUUUGGGCAUGUCUGUUUGAGCGUCAUUACAACACCUCAGCGCACGCUGGUUUUGAGCUGUGAGGGCUUCAGAAAUGAAUCCUCCCGCUUUAAAGUUGUAAGCUCUGCUGACUUCCAGCUGGACCUAAAACAUAGUAAACUUCUUGCUUGUUUAUGGGAAAAAUUGUGAAGUUCGGCCUGAACAACACCUUUAUAUUUCUAAGGUUUGACCUCAGAUCAGACAAGGAUACCCGCUGAACUUAA